rnacentral:rRNA from 1 species
UACGUAGGGUGCAAGCGUUGUCCGGAAUUAUUGGGCGUAAAGAGCUCGUAGGCGGUCUGUCGCGUCUGCUGUGAAAACUCAGGGCUUAACCCUGAGCUUGCAGUGGGUACGGGCAGACUAGAGUGCGGUAGGGGAGACUGGAAUUCCUGGUGUAGCGGUGAAAUGCGCAGAUAUCAGGAGGGAACACCCGGUGGGCGAAGGCGGGUCUCUGGGCCGUAACUGGACGC